rnacentral:tRNA from 1 species
UCCUGGCUGGCUCAAUUGGUAGAGCACGUGACUUUUGAUCUCAGGGUUUUGAGUUCGAGCCCCAUGUUGGGUG